rnacentral:rRNA from 1 species
AGUGAACGCUGGCGGUAGGCCUAACACAUGCAAGUCGAACGGCAGCACAGUAAGAGCUUGCUCUUACGGGUGGCGAGUGGCGGACGGGUGAGGAAUACAUCGGAAUCUACUUUUUCGUGGGGGAUAACGUAGGGAAACUUACGCUAAUACCGCAUACGACCUACGGGUGAAAGCAGGGGAUCUUCGGACCUUGCGCGAUUGAAUGAGCCGAUGUCGGAUUAGCUAGUUGUCGGGGUAAAGGCCCACCAAGGCGACGAUCCGUAGCUGGUCUGAGAGGAUGAUCAGCCACACUGGAACUGAGACACGGUCCAGACUCCUACGGGAGGCAGCAGUGGGGAAUAUUGGACAAAGGGCGCAAGCCUGAUCCAGCCAUACCGCGUGGGUGAAGAAGGCCUUCGGGUUGUAGAGCCCUUUUGUUGGGAAAGAAAAGCAGCAGGUUAAUACCCCGCUGUUCUGACGGUACCCAAAGAAUAAGCACCGGCUAACUUCGUG